rnacentral:ribozyme from 13 species
UUUUUUUUUUUUUUUUUUUUUUUUUUUUUUUUUUUUUUUUUUUUUUUUUUUUUUUUCAAAAGCGCCGAGGCA